UGUCCACUUUCCCGACACUCCCAGGGCCUGAGGAAUCCUUGGUGCCUCCUCUAGGUGUAACCCAUGUCCCUGUAUGCGUCCCAGGGGUCAUCCUCAAAUACUGCCGUGGUCUUGGUGUCCAGAGUCGUCUUAGCAGCUGCCAUUGUGUGGGGCUCCUCGAGGAUGGGGACCCUGUUCUCUCAGCUCCGCCCCCCAGCAUGAGUCAUGGUCUCUCUAAAGACCUCAUGGCCUUGAAGCAAACAUCACCAGCUACACCCAGCAAGGCUG
rnacentral:lncRNA from 10 species